UACGAAGGGGGCUAGCGUUGCUCGGAAUUACUGGGCGUAAAGCGCACGUAGGCGGUCUUUUAAGUCGGUGGUGAAAUCCUGGAGCUCAACUCCAGAACUGCCUUCGAUACUGGAAGACUUGAGUCCGAGAGAGGUGAGUGGAACUGCGAGUGUAGAGGUGAAAUUCGUAGAUAUUCGGAAGAACACCAGUGGCGAAGGCGACUCGCUGGACAAGUAUUGACGCUGAGGUGCGAAAGCGUGGGGAGCAACCAGG
rnacentral:rRNA from 1 species